GGGAGAGAGAAGGGGAGAGAGAGAAAGGAGAGAGAGAGAGAGAGAGAGGGAGAAGGGAAGAGAGAGAAAGAUGGAGAGAGAGAGAAGGGGAGGGAGAGAAAGUGAGAGAGAGAAAGAUGGAGGGAGAGAGAAGGGGAGAGAGAAAGAUGGAGGGAGAGAGAAAGGUGGAGAGAGAGAAAGGUGGAGGGGGAGAGAAGGAGAGAGAGAGAAAGGUGGAGAGAGAGAGAAGGGGAGAUAGAGAAAGGAGAGAGAGAUAGAAGGGGAGAGAAAUAUGGAGGGAGAGAGAAGGGGAGAUAGAGAAAGGUGGAGAGAGAGAAAAGGGGAGACAGAGAAAGGUGGAGGGAGAGAAAGGUGGAGGGAUAGAGAAAGAUGGAGGGGGAGAGAGAGAAGGGGAGAGAGAGAAAGAUGUAGAGAGAGAGAAGGGGAGAGAGAGAAAGGGAGAGAGAAAAAGUUGGAGAGAGAGAGAAGGGGAGAGAGAAAGAGAAGGGGAGAGAGAGAAAGGUGGAGGGAAAGAGAAGGGGAGAGAGAGAGAAAAGGUGGAGGGAGAGAGAGAAUGGUGGAGGGAGAGAGAGGCAUAGAGAGAGAGAAGGGGAGAGAGAGAAAGAUGGAGGGAGAGAGAAGAGGAGAGAGAAAGAUGGAGGGAGAGAGAGAAAGGUGGAGGGAGAGAGAAGGGGAGAUAGAGAAAGAUGGAGGGAGAGAGAAGGGGAGAGAGAAAGAUGGAGGGAGAGAGAGAAAGGUGGAGGGAGAGAGAAGGGGAGAGAGAGAAAUUGGAGAGAGAGAGAGAGAGAGAGGGAGAAGGGAAGAGAGAGAAAGAUGGAGAGAGAGAGAAGGGGAGGGAGAGAAAGUGAGAGAGAGAAAGAUGGAGGGAGAGAGAAGGUCAAAGAGAAAGAUGGAGGGAGAGAGAAAGGUGGAGAGAGAGAAAGGUGGAGAGAGAGAAAGGUGGAGAGAGAGAGAAUGGGAGAGAGAGAAAGGUGGAGAGAGAUAGAAGGGGAGAGAAAGAUGGAGGGAGAGAGAAGGGGAGAUAGAGAAAGGUGGAUGGAGAGAAGGGGAGAGAGAGAAAGAUGGGGGAGAGAGAGAAAGAUGGAGGGAGAGAGAAGGGGAGAGAGAGAGAAAAAGGUGGAGGGAGAGAGAGAAUGGUGGAGGGAGAGAGAGGCAUAGAGAGAGAGAAGGGGAGAGAGAGAAAGGGAGAGAGAAAAAGUUGGAGGGAGAGAG
ensembl:lncRNA